ACAUUAAAUCUCUUAGCUGGCUCCAUAAUAUACAGACCAACAACUUCUCUAAGGCCCACAGCACUCUUUUAGAUUUGGGCAAAAUGGAGCAGGGCUCUCUGGCAAAGAAAAAGACACUGUUAAGUCUGAGUAAAUUGGCCGGACUAGCAGCUGACCCAGAUAAUGGAGAAAUAGACAGCAACAUACUAG